rnacentral:rRNA from 1 species
UGGGGAAUAUUGGACAAUGGGCGAAAGCCUGAUCCAGCCAUGCCGCGUGUGUGAAGAAGGUCUUCGGAUUGUAAAGCACUUUAAGUUGGGAGGAAGGCCAGUAAGCGACUACCUUGUUGUCUUGACGUUACGGCCAGAAUAAGCACCGGCUAACUCUGUGCCAGCAGCCUCGGUAAUACGGAGGGUGCAAGCGUUAUUCGGAAUUACUGGGCGUAAAGCGCGCGUCGGUGGUUCGUUAAGUUGAAUGUGAAAGCCCCGGGCUCAACCUGGGAACUGCAUCCAAAACUGGCGAGCUAGAGUAGGGCAGAGGGUGGUGGAAUUUCCUGUGUAGCGGUGAAAUGCGUAGAUAUAGGAAGGAACACCAGUGGCGAAGGCGACCACCUGGGCUCAUACUGACACUGAGGUGCGAAAGCGUGGGGAGCAAACAGG